AUCUUCAGGGCAGGGUGAAAUUCCCGAUCGGCGGUACAGUCCGCGAACAGGCCGGCGCUUGCCAGGCCUGCCGAUCCGGUGCGAUUCCGGAACCGACAGUGACAGUCUGGAUGGAAGAAGAUG
rnacentral:ncRNA from 1 species